GGGCCGGUAGCUCAGCCUGGAAGAGCGCGCGGCUUGCACCCGCGAGGCCCCGGGUUCAAAUCCCGGCCGGUCCACCA
rnacentral:tRNA from 1 species